rnacentral:lncRNA from 1 species
UGCCUCAGCUGGGAGUCACGUCCUUUCCCCUUUCCGGUUCUACCCUCCUGAAAUGGAGGUGAGAUGGCAGAAGUCAGAGCAAGCACUGUGGGACCUUGGGAAAAAAAGUCAAGAGAAUCUCAGUUAUCUCAAGGACCAAAGCUAUUUGAAUCACAACUGGAAACUACCGAGGGAUUGUUCCUUCUCUGGGCUCCAGUGAAAGGCAGUGGUCAUCCUUGUCAUUCAAGAACAAGAGGGGACAACAGAGUGCCAAAAACAAGUGCUGCUUUUGGUGGAGAACAAAACUUCUGGUUUAAAAGAAGAUAAUAGAACAAUUAAGCUAUUUUUUUUACUUACAUUGACCAGCUUGACAAGCAAAGAUCUUUUCUAGGAUGAAAAAAUGUGUCUUUGUUUUCACUUGUGUUAG